CACCUGACCCCAUGCCGAACUCAGAAGUGAAACGCCGUAGCGCCGAUGGUAGUGUGGGGUUUCCCCAUGCGAGAGUAGGGAACUGCCAGGCA
rnacentral:rRNA from 1 species